rnacentral:lncRNA from 1 species
GUCACCAGUUUCUCAGGCUCUUCCUCCUCCGACAAUGGCAGUCAGCAUGGAGCAAUUCGACUUGUCGGUUCAUCAGGUCAGGGACCUCACCGAAGCAGUGCAGGCCAUGCAGCAGCAGCAGCAACAGCCACAGGCAUUUGUGUGGCUAGAAAGAGCAUCGCCGGAGUUCCAGAAUCCGACGAUCGGGCGGGCCACUUGGGC